GAGGGCAUCGUGCAACAGGUGACAGAUCCACCGCUGACGAGUCGGAAGGCGUUUACGUCACACUUAGGCUUCUGUUAUUCUUUUUCACAUUAUUAUUCAUCUUUCCUUCUUUGAUUAAUACUUAUCCUACUAUGAAAGGUUUCCUACAGCUUUCAUUUCCUUUGUGUCUGAUCUGUUGACUUUGCUGCUCCCUCUUGACAAGCUUAAUAAUUCAUUUCUAACGAUUCGGUUCCCCUUCUCUCCGCCCUGUUCUUGUCUCCUUGUCAAGAGUCCAUUUUGAAGUUCAAUUUGUCUUCCAAAUUUUACUCUAGAAGCGUACUCACACUCAAUCCUGCGAAUGUUUAAAAUGGAAGUUGAUAAAUUCCUUUCCCACUCCCAGUAUGCUGUUCCUGUGGGUGGGGUGCUGUUAUUAGCAAUACUUGUGUUUACCUUUGGCUUUAAAACUGUUGCUGAGCCAACUUUUGACAGAAGUACUGGAAGUGAAGAAAAGAAAAAGAAACAAGCCAAACCAAAGACAAAGGUGAAGAAAGCAAAUGUUUCUGUUUCUCCUGAACUAACCGGAGAUUUCAAGAAAACAAGCACUCCUGCUCAACCUAAAUCCCCUGCCAAGACUGCUGUAAAAAGGAGUCACCAAAAAAGACAGCUAAAACUGAGCAAACUAAAAAGGCUGAAGUGGAAAUUGUGAAAUUAGAAAAAAAAAGUGGAGAAGUUCAACAAAAGAAAAAGGAAGCUAAGCCAGCAGAUUUUGAUGAAGGUGACUGGGUUCAAGCUGUGAGCAAAAAAGACAAGAAGAAGAAACCAGCAGAUGGUUCUUCAGCUAAUGUUAGUUCAGCAAAUUCCCCUACUCAUGAAGCUGGAAAAAGGCCGAAUAAGAAGAAGAAGGAAUCUGUGAAGAAAAACGAGGAAAACAAGAGCAACGAAAUCCCCAUCGAGAAAAUAGAGAACGAUGUUGCUACCGUCCAGGAACCCGAAGUCAAGGCAGUAACAGAAGCCGUCGUUGUGGCUGCUCCAGUAGUUGUGGAAAUCGAGUCGGUCAAACUGGUGAAAAAGAGGAGGAAAAGGCCAACAAAAAGGUUACCGCUGAAACAACUACUGAUAAAAAGAGAAAAACAACAACAAUGCCAAUAACGCCAACUCAAAAAAAGUGGAAAAGGUCAAGGCAGAGAUAGUAGUUGAGAAAAUCAAGGAAACCGUAGAGAAAGUUACCGAUGCCACGCCACAUGCUAUUGUAAACGUAUCUGAAGACACGUGGCAGGAAAACAAGAGCAAGAAGAAGAAGAAGGCCCGUCGGGAUUAAACUUAACACUGCGUAGUGGCUUCACCUUUGCGCCAAACUCCAUGAUGGUUAUGAAAAUGUUAAUCAUUUUGUCUCCAUCCCAUUCAACUCCUGCGUGCAAAAAUAAGGUCAUUGGUCUUUGUUUUCCGUUCUUUUUUGUUUGACUUUAGCCUUCCUAUUCAAUACCCUACUCGGUGCUUCUUUUUUCUUUAAUUUGGUGAUUAUAGUCGAGUCUUUUUCUCUUCCUUUUUUUUUGUUGUUUUUUUUUCUUUGUUUCUAUUUUUUCUUUAUUUUAUUUUCAUUUUCUUUUUCUUGAACUAUUAUUUUUAUUAUUCCUUUUUGUGUUCACUCAAGAUUCCCCGUUGUUGGCGUGGAUACAUUUUGAGAUAUUUCAGAAAGGGUUUAAGUGCAUGUAUUAUUGUGCUGUAUGUUCUUUAGUGAAACUGUUCCAUGUAGUGCACAGUGCGCACGUGUACGAUCCAUAUCAAAGUGACUUACAUCAAUAAGUCGGAAGUAGACACUUCAUUGGCAGUCCGAUAUUGUCGGAAUAGAACCCGUGUUUUUCCUCGGAUGGGGUUAAGAGACAAAACUAUGUGAACUUAUAUUCCUAGUAACGCAAAAAAAAAUGCGGGAUUUAAAUGCUAUUUUCUAUCGGUCAUGGGAAAUGUUAAAUUGGGGACCAGAGUGUUAUUUUUUAUUGAUAUGUGUAUGGGCUUCCAUGCGCAUUUCCCUUAUGUAGGUCAUAUGAAAUGCGGUGAAUGGUUUUUUGUGUGCGUGUGUAAAAUUCAAAUUCACAGUACGAUUCAAAUUAAAUGAGAAAGAUGAA
rnacentral:lncRNA from 1 species